rnacentral:rRNA from 1 species
GAUGAACGCUGGCGGCGUGCCUAAUACAUGCGAGUCGAACGAACAGACGAGGAUCUUGCUCCUUUCGGGUUAGAGACGGACGGGUGAGUCAAACGUAGGUACCCUGUCUUGAAGAAUGGGAUAACUAAGGGCGAACUAAUAUCUCAUACGAUAUGAUGUUGAAAGGCGUGGUCCGAAAGUGCUAGAUACAUUUGUUCUGCCUAUGACGGAUUAGCUAGCUGUUGUGGUAAAGGCUUACCAAGGCGACGAUCCGUAGCAGAGCUGAGAGGGCGAUCAGCCACACUGGAACUGAGACACGGCCCAGACUCCUACGGGAGGCAGCAGUGGGGAAUCUUGGACAAUGGGCGAAAGCCUGACCCAGCAAUGCCGCGUGAGUGAAGAAGGCCUUCGGAUCGUAAAACGCUGUUAUUAGGGAAGAACAACUGUGGGCUAAUAAGCCGGGGGCUUGACGGUACCGGAAGAAAAAGCAACGGCUAACUACGUG